rnacentral:rRNA from 1 species
CUACGUGCCAGCAGCCGCGGUAAUACGGAAGGUCCAGGCGUUAUCCGGAUUUAUUGGGUUUAAAGGGAGUGUAGGCGGUUUGUUAAGCGUGUUGUGAAAUUUAGGUGCUCAACAUUUAACUUGCAGCGCGAACUGUCAGACUUGAGUACACGCAACGUAUGCGGAAUUCAUGGUGUAGCGGUGAAAUGCUUAGAUAUCAUGAAGAACUCCGAUUGCGAAGGCAGCAUACGGGAGUGUAACUGACGCUNAAGCUCGAAGGUGCGGGUAUCGAACAGGAUUAGAUACCCUGGUAGUCCGCACAGUAAACGAUGGAUGCCCGCUGUURGYRCCURGYRUYAGCGGCUAAGCGAAAGCAUUAAGCAUCCCACCUGGGGAGUACGCCGGCAACGGUGAAACUCAAAGGAAUUGACGGGGGCCCGCACAAGCGGAGGAACAUGUGGUUUAAUUCGAUGAUACGCGAGGAACCUUACCCGGGCUUGAA